UGGGAAUAUUGGGGCAAUGGGGCGAAAGCCUGACCCAGCAACGCCGCGUGAAGGAAGAAGGUCUUCGGAUUGUAAACUUUGUCUUAUGGGACGAUAAUGACGGUACCAUAGGAGGAAGCCACGACUAACUACGUGCCAGCAGUCGCGGUAAUACGUAGGUGGCGAGCGUUAUCCGGAAUUAUUGGGUGUAAAGGGUGCGUAGGCGGGACGUAAAGUCAGAUGUGAAAUGCGGAGGCUCAACCUCCGAACUGCAUUUGAAACUUACGUUCUUGAGUGGAGUAGAGGCAAGCGGAAUUCCCGGUGUAGCGGUGAAAUGCAUAGAUAUCGGGAGGAACACCAGUGGCGAAGGCGGCUUGCUGGGCUUUACUGACGCUGAGGCACGAAAGUGUGGGGAGCAAACAGGAUUAGAUACCCUGGUAGU
rnacentral:rRNA from 1 species